rnacentral:rRNA from 1 species
UACGUAGGGUGCAAGCGUUAAUCGGAAUUACUGGGCGUAAAGCGUGCGCAGGCGGCUUUGCAAGACAGAUGUGAAAUCCCCGGGCUCAACCUGGGAACUGCAUUUGUGACUGCAUGGCUAGAGUACGGUAGAGGGGGAUGGAAUUCCGCGUGUAGCAGUGAAAUGCGUAGAUAUGCGGAGGAACACCGAUGGCGAAGGCAAUCCCCUGGACCUGUACUGACGCUCAUGCACGAAAGCGUGGGGAG